rnacentral:rRNA from 1 species
CUCGGGUCUUGUACUCACCGCCCGUCACACCACGAAAGUUGGCAGCACCCAAUAUCUCUGUAUGGAGACUAAGGUGAGGUCAGCGAUCAGGGUGAAGUCGUAACAAGGCAUCCGUAGCGGAAGCUGUGGAUGGAUCACCUCCUUUCUAGGGAGU